rnacentral:rRNA from 1 species
GACGAACGCUGGCGGCGUGCUUAACACAUGCAAGUCGUACGGUAAGGCCCUUUCGGGGGUACACGAGUGGCGAACGGGUGAGUAACACGUGAGUAACCUGCCCACAACUUUGGGAUAACGCUAGGAAACUGGUGCUAAUACUGGAUAUGUGCUCCUGCUGCAUGGUGGGGGUUGGAAAGCUCCGGCGGUUGUGGAUGGACUCGCGGCCUAUCAGCUUGUUGGUGGGGUAGUGGCCUACCAAGGCGGCGACGGGUAGCCGGCCUGAGAGGGUGACCGGCCACAGUGGGACUGAGAUACGGCCCAGACUCCUACGGGAGGCAGCAGUGGGGAAUAUUGCACAAGGGGCGCAAGCCUGAUGCAGCAACGCCGCGUGCGGGAGGACGGCCUUCGGGUUGUAAACCGCUUUCAGCAGGGACGAAGCUUUUUGUGACGGUACCUGCAGAAGAAGCACCGGCUAACUACGUG